UACACGAUAGCCUUGGUGGGGAUUGUAGUUCCAAGUGCUUUGAGAAGACCGUUGCUUAUGUAUAUAAUGGACGAGUUGCACCGCAUCUGGAGUGUUGUGUGCAGUUCUGGUUACCACAGAACAAACGAGAUGGAGCAGCACUUGAAGCUGUGCAGAGGAGAGCAAUCAGGUGUAUCCCAGAACUUAUCGGAUAGAAUACAAAAGGAGAAAAUCCUGGAGGUCCACUGAUGCCACUUCCCUGCCGGCCAAAGCCAUGUCACUUUCUGUCACAGCAGUGUAUAACCGAGAGUCUCACCAGUAGUCUGCAUUCAUUCAAGGACCAACUUUGGAGGAACACAGAGCUCCAAACCUCUGAAGUAUAUUUUCAGGACACAAAAUCAAAGAAGACAAACAAUAACUCACCCGCAAUACUUCUGGUCACCCAAAAUGGCUUCCAUUCAACUCUGAAAUCCAUCGGUGACAUAACUUCAGGCUCUCCCGAGAUGACAUCACUUCUGGCUCUGGCAUAACAAUGCUACUUCCGGUUCCUGGAAUAACGCUACCUCCGGCCUUCCAUGAUGACGUCAGUUCUGGCCAUCCUUGACAAUGUCAUUUCUGAACCUCAAUGAUGAUGUCAUUUUUGACUCUCUGCAUUUGAUGUCAUUUCCUGCAUAGAUCAUUUCCUGCCACCAUUUUCUAUAAAGGCUCCCUGUAUUCAUUACUCCAUGGUCAAUUGCUCUUGUUUUUUUUCCACUUUGUCCGACAGACAUUAUACAAAAACGUUCCCCAAUUCUUUUUUGAGAUUCCUAGAGUAUAUCCAGUAAAUCAGCCAUAGCAUGCUCAAAAUGGAACAGCAAGAAUCUUUACUAAAAGGAAAAACAUCUGUACACGUUUCAAACAUGUUAGCGUCAUUCCAUUGACUGCUGGCGUCUUUUUACCACACUUCUUUUAACUUCACCUGUUUGUUGUCUGGAACAAAUCUUGUCAACGAUAUUUAAUCCACUUCCUAUUGUCCAAAUGAUUU